AGGACGAACGCUGGCGGCGUGCCUAACACAUGCAAGUCGAACGCGCUCCAUUCGGUAGCAAUACUGAUGAAGAGCGAGUGGCGAACGGGUGAGUAGCACGUGAGCAACCUGCCCCGAAGACUGGGACAACACCGGGAAACCGGUGCUAAUACCGGAUAUCCCUAUCGGACCGCAUGAUCUGAUAAGGAAAUGGAUUCCGCUUCGGGAGGGGCUCGCGGCCUAUCAGCUAGUUGGUGGGGUAACGGCCCACCAAGGCAUCGACGGGUAGCUGGUCUGAGAGGACGAUCAGCCACACUGGGACUGAGACACGGCCCAGACUCCUACGGGAGGCAGCAGUGGGGAAUCUUGCGCAAUGGGCGAAAGCCUGACGCAGCAACGCCGCGUGGAGGACGAAGGCUUUCUGAGUUGUAAACUCCUUUCAGCAGGGACGAUAGUGACGGUACCUGCAGAGAGCACGGCAACUACGUGCCAGCAGCCGCGGUAA
rnacentral:rRNA from 1 species